AUUGAACGCUGGCGGCAGGCCUAACACAUGCAAGUCGAGCGAGCGGCGGACGGGUGAGUAAUGUAUGGGGAUCUGCCCGAUAGAGGGGGAUAACUACUGGAAACGGUGGCUAAUACCGCAUACCAUCAGAUGUGCCCAGAUGGGAUUAGCUAGUGGGUGGGUUAAUGGCUCACCUAGGCGACGAUCCCUAGCUGGUCUGGGAGGAUGACCAGCCACACAGGAACGGAGACACGGUCCAGACGCCUACGGGAGGCAGCAGUGGGGAAUAGGGCACAAUGGGCGCAAGCCUGAUGCAGCCAUGCCGCGUGUGUGAAGAAGGCCUUCGGGUUGUAAAGCACUUUCAGCGAGGAGGCGUUACUCGCAGAAGAAGCACCGGCUAACUCCGUGCCAGCAGCCGCGGUAAUUC
rnacentral:rRNA from 1 species